rnacentral:snRNA from 1 species
UAGUAUUACAGCUCUUUUAGAAUGUAUCCAGCAGGUUUUCAAAUUUUCACAAGAAUGCCCAA